rnacentral:sRNA from 2 species
UUAGAACUAAGCAACUGACUAGAUUUUCCAUUAGCGCAGGCUCUUUGGAGCCAUUCCCCUAGGCCCUAAAACCUUACGUUUUGGGCCUUUUUUU